rnacentral:rRNA from 1 species
CCAAUAGCGUAUAUUAAAGUUGCUGCAGUUAAAAAGCUCGUAGUUGAAUUUCGGAACCAAUAUGUUGGUUGUGCCUCGGUACGUACUGGCAUUGUUGGUUUCUCCCUUCUGACGAACUAUGAUGUCAUUAAUUUGGUGUCAUGGGGAAUCAGGACUGUUACUUUGAAAAAAUUAGAGUGUUUAAAGCAGGCUCACGCUUGAAUACAUUAGCAUAGAAUAAUGAAAUAGGACGUUUGAUUCUAUUUUGUUGGUUUCUAGGAUUGACGUAAUGAUUAAUAGGGAUAGUUGGGGGCAUUAGUAUUCAAUUGUCAGAGGUGAAAUUCUUGGAUUUAUUGAAGACUAACUACUGCGAAAGCAUUUGCCAAGGAUGUUUUCAUUAAUCAAGAAUGAAAGUUAGGGGAUCGAAGACGAUCAGAUACCGUCGUAGUCUUAACCAUAAACUAUGCCGACUAGGGAUUGGAUGAUGUUAAUUUUUUAAUGACUCAUUCGGCGCCUUACG